UACAAAAAUUACUAGUUCCUCUGACCCACCUAAUUAAUCAUUUGCUGCAUUAACGAAUGUAGGUUCGACCAAAUCUAGUUCCAAUUGCACAUCUUCUUCUUCUACCUCCAGUCCAUCAACUCCUUCCUCAACUGGUUUGAUAGAUCUUCAUUGUACUCACCCAGUACACGGACUUAAGCUUCCAAUUUCAAGAUUUGGACAUCCCGAAG
rnacentral:lncRNA from 1 species